ACCUUUUAACAACGGAUCUCUUGGCUCUCGCAUCGAUGAAGAACGCAGCGAAAUGCGAUACGUAAUGUGAAUUGCAGAAUUCAGUGAAUCAUCGAAUCUUUGAACGCACCUUGCGCCCUUUGGCAUUCCGAGGGGCACACCCGUUUGAGUGUCGUGACAUUCUCAAAACCUUCUUGGUUUCUUGACCGGGAAGGCUUUGGACUUUGGAGGCUUUUGCUGGCUUUCCUUUGUUGGAGCCAGCUCCUCUGAAAUGGAUUAGUAGGGUCUGCUUUGCCGAUCCUUGACGUGAUAAAAUGUUUUCUACGUCUCUGGUUCUGCACUCCUGCUUCUAACCGUCUCACAGAAGACAAACGGCCAAAGUGAUUGCCACUUUGACCCACGAACCUUGACCUCAAAUCGGGUGAGACUACCCGCUGAACUUAAGCAUAUCAAUAAGCGGAGGCU
rnacentral:misc_RNA from 1 species